GAUUGUGGGGUUGGUUCGCGAAUAAGAGGUGUCUUUCAAAAACUUUCUUGUUUGCAAGGUGGAUUUCAAUAGGCAAAGCUCUUUUAUUACCACCUGUACAGAAAUUUUUAUCAUGUGAGGCGUCAGAAAUCUCACUAGAUCCGAUAAUGAUUCUUAGGCCUAAUUGAAAUCCUGUCAGAGACUGUCUUCUAAGAUAACUGGAAUGGCAUGAGUUUUGUGAGCUGUGGGAAAGUGGCACCGGAUCCAAGAUGGGAUGUUCGAAUCACUCCUCACACCUUUGAUUUAAAGGAAUAUUCCAAAGUGGACAGCAUACCUUAGAGUGGCAAAUCAUCUCUAAGAGUGUGUUAGUUUUAGGAGUAAUUGAUUACUCCAAGUCAACUUUCUGUGGGAAAAUAGAGAUCAAGUUUGAUUUUUGCUCCUGUCCUGUUGUGGUGUACCUGCCAAGGGAGCCUGCUUCCUCAAUGCCUUGGACUCUUUCAACCUCAAGGUUUGUCAUUCUUUUUCAAAAGCAGUAGAUCCUCUUAACCUUUAAUCAUGAGAGAAGCCAAAUGAGGGAAGAUAGUUCCCAAAUAAAAUUAUAUGUGUGUGUGUGAUGAACACUAAAGCAGAAUAAGUAAAGGUAGGCAAAAGGAAUAUGUGAAAAGAUAAGUAACAGUGAGUGAAAGCAAGUUACCCAGUCAUAGAGUGCUGGUAACAAACAAGUCAAACCCUGUAUAUCCAUGAAAAAA